rnacentral:tRNA from 1 species
CGGGGUGUGGCGCAGUUGGCUAGCGUACUUGUAUGGGGUACAAGUGGUCGGAAGUUCGAGUCUUCUCACCCCGACGA